UACAGAGGUCCCAAGCGUUGUUCGGAUUCACUGGGCGUAAAGGGUGCGUAGGCGGUCGGGUAAGUCUGGUGUGAAAUCUCACAGCUUAACUGUGAAACUGCAUUGGAUACUAUCCGGCUCGAGGAAUGGAGGGGAGACUGGAAUUCCUGGUGUAGCGGUGGAAUGCGCAGAUAUCAGGAGGAACACCGGUGGCGAAGGCGGGUCUCUGGGCCGUUACUGACGCUGAGGAGCGAAAGCGUGGGGAGCGAACAGG
rnacentral:rRNA from 1 species